UUAGCUAGUUGGUGGGGUAAAGGCCUACCAAGGCGACGAUCAGUAGCUGNUNUGAGAGGAUGAUCANCCNCACUGGAACUGAGACACGGUCCAGACUCUUACGGGAGGCANCAGUGAGGAAUUUUCUGCAAUGGGCGAAAGCCUGACAGAGCAAUACCGCGUGANGGAUGAAGGCCUACGGGUUGUAAACUUCUUUUNUCAAGGAGGAAGAUCUGACGUUAUCUUGAGGAAUAAGCAUCGGCUAACCCUGUGCCAGCAGCCGCGGUAUACCGAUNUGCNA
rnacentral:rRNA from 1 species